rnacentral:rRNA from 1 species
UACGUAGGGCGCGAGCGUUGUCCGGAAUUAUUGGGCGUAAAGAGCUCGUAGGCGGCUUGUCACGUCGGUUGUGAAAGCCCGGGGCUUAACCCCGGGUCUGCAGUCGAUACGGGCAGGCUAGAGUUCGGUAGGGGAGAUCGGAAUUCCUGGUGUAGCGGUGGAAUGCGCAGAUAUCAGGAGGAACACCGAUGGCGAAGGCAGUUCUCUGGGCCGUAACUGACGCUGAGGAGCGAAAGCAUGGGGAGCGAACAGG